rnacentral:rRNA from 1 species
AUUGAACGCUGGCGGCAGGCCUAACACAUGCAAGUCGAGCGGAUGAAGGGAGCUUGCUCCUGGAUUCAGCGGCGGACGGGUGAGUAAUGCCUAGGAAUCUGCCUGGUAGUGGGGGAUAACGUCCGGAAACGGGCGCUAAUACCGCAUACGUCCUGAGGGAGAAAGUGGGGGAUCUUCGGACCUCACGCUCUCAGAUGAGCCUAGGUCGGAUUAGCUAGUUUGUGGGGUAAAGGCCUACCAAGGCGACGAUCCGUAACUGGUCUGAGAGGAUGAUCAGUCACACUGGAACUGAGACACGGUCCAGACUCCUACGGGAGGCAGCAGUGGGGAAUAUUGGACAAUGGGCGAAAGCCUGAUCCAGCCAUGCCGCGUGUGUGAAGAAGGUCUUCGGAUUGUAAAGCACUUUAAGUUGGGAGGAAGGGCAGUAAGUUAAUACCUUGCUGUUUUGACGUUACCAACAGAAUAAGCACCGGCUAACUUCGUG